UACGUAGGGGGCGAGCGUUGUCCGGAUUUAUUGGGCGUAAAGAGCGUGUAGGCGGCUUGGUAGGUCCGCUGUGAAAGCCCGGGGCUUAACCCCGGGUCUGCAUUCGAUACGGGCUAGCUAGAGUGUGGUAGGGGAGAUCGGAAUUCCUGGUGUAGCGGUGAAAUGCGCAGAUAUCAGGAGGAACACCGGUGGCGAAGGCGGAUCUCUGGGCCAUUACUGACGCUGGAGGAGCGAAAGCGUGGGGAGCGAACAGG
rnacentral:rRNA from 1 species